GUAAAAGUUUUAAUAUUUAAAGUGGACCCUUUCACAGCAAUAGUGGUGUGAUUGGCUGGUUUGUGUGACGUCUUCCUGUUCUAGUUCGAUGCCUCAACGGAAAAGACCACCUUCAGCAUUCACUCCACAUUACUCCCGGCAGAGACAGGUGUCUUGUCCUACUAACACCCCACUCGUGGCCUGCACCUUGAUGUGGUUGACAGGCCUCAAUGGACAGUGAGACAGUGAUCUACAUUUGGACUGGCACCAACCAGACAUGGACACUGAAGCUUGAUUUCUCAUGAAUAUCUUUACAAGAUGCAACACACAUUGUGGAACACUUUAGACACUAAUAAACAUGUCCAUUGUUUUCUCUGGAA